rnacentral:rRNA from 1 species
UGGGGAAUAUUGCACAAUGGAGGGAACUCUGAUGCAGCAACGCCGCGUGUGGGAUGACGGCCUUCGGGUUGUAAACCGCUUUCAGCCAUGACGAAGCUUUUGUGACGGUAGUGGUAGAAGAAGCACCGGCUAACUACGUGCCAGCAGCCGCGGUGAUACGUAGGGUGCGAGCGUUGUCCGGAAUUAUUGGGCGUAAAGAGCUUGUAGGCGGUUUGUCGCGUCGAUAGUGUAAACACGCAGCUUAACUGUGUGCCUGCUGUCGAUACGGGCUGACUAGAGGAGGGUAGGGGAGAAUGGAAUUCCCGGUGGAGCGGUGGAAUGCGCAGAUAUCGGGAGGAACACCAGUGGCGAAGGCGGUUCUCUGGACCUUUCCUGACGCUGAGAAGCGAAAGCGUGGGUAGCAAACAGG